rnacentral:rRNA from 1 species
CACGUAGGCACCAAGCGUUGUCCGGAUUUAUUGGGCGUAAAGAGCUCGUAGGCGGUUCGGUAAGUCAGGUGUGAAAACUCCAGGCUCAACUUGGAGACGCCACCUGAUACUGUCGUGACUAGAGUCCGGUAGGGGAGCAUGGAAUUCCUGGUGUAGCGGUGAAAUGCGCAGAUAUCAGGAGGAACACCAGCGGCGAAGGCGGUGCUCUGGGCCGGAACUGACGCUGAGGAGCGAAAGCGUGGGGAGCGAACAGG